rnacentral:rRNA from 2 species
UCGAGCGAACUGAUUAGAAGCUUGCUUCUAUGACGUUAGCGGCGGACGGGUGAGUAACACGUGGGCAACCUGCCUGUAAGACUGGGAUAACUUCGGGAAACCGAAGCUAAUACCGGAUAGGAUCUUCUCCUUCAUGGGAGAUGAUUGAAAGAUGGUUUCGGCUAUCACUUACAGAUGGGCCCGCGGUGCAUUAGCUAGUUGGUGAGGUAACGGCUCACCAAGGCAACGAUGCAUAGCCGACCUGAGAGGGUGAUCGGCCACACUGGGACUGAUACACGGCCCAGACUCCUACGGGAGGCAGCAUCAGGGAAUCUUCCGCAAUGGACGAAAGUCUGACGGAGCAACGCCGCGUGAGUGAUGAAGGCUUUCGGGUCGUAAAACUCUGUUGUUAGGGAAGAACAAGUACGAGAGUAACUGCUCGUACCUUGACGGUACCUAACCAGAAAGCCACGGCUAACUACGUGCCAGCAGCCGCGGUAAUACGUAGGUGGCAAGCGUAUCCGGAAUUAUUGGGCGUAAAGCGCGCGCAGGCGGUUUCUUAAGUCUGAUGUGAAAGCCCACGGCUCAACCGUGGAGGGUCAUUGGAAACUGGGGAACUUGAGUGCAGAAGAGAAAAGCGGAAUUCCACGUGUAGCGGUGAAAUGCGUAGAGAUGUGGAGGAACACCAGUGGCGAAGGCGGCUUUUUGGUCUGUAACUGACGCUGAGGCGCGAAAGCGUGGGGAGCAAACAGGAUUAGAUACCCUGG